UUCCGAGAGCACGGGAAGACGAGAUGGCGGUGUUGCAUGCUCUGUUGCCACGUAAACUCAAAUAAUAGUUCCAGAGCGUGUCUUUCUCCCACUCAGCCUUCCGCCUCUUGUGAUCCUUGGUGAGGUUAACUUAUCGACAUGUAAAAGCUCUAAAAUGUCUGCUAUUUGGUGUGGUAGCCAGCUUGUUCUUCUUCAUCUUCCUUUUGUUCCAUAAACACUUCGACUCGUUCCGUCUUCUCUUUUUUUUUCUUUUUUAAUUUUCUUCCUCCAUAUACGGUCUUGCUAACAUAUAUAUACAUAGAAAACAAAGGAAGAACAAUAGUAAGGAAACUAGAGUGUAAAAAGAAUGUCUGGUUCAUGAAAUGCUUUAUGAUGUGUUUCGAAGCUUUAUUCUGCACGAGACUGUCAUCUAAAGUCUUCAACGUAAACUAAAUUAUUUGAUAUUUUGAUCCAGAAGCUAUUUCUAUAGUGAUUUUUUUUUUUUUUCAGUUUAAGGUAUUUUUAGCUGUUCUAAUAUAGUGUUUACCGAUUGAUGGCUUCUUAAUAAUGAUACGUACAUUUUGAAGAGUUUAAGUAUGAAUUCAUAUAUUUUUACUCAUCCUGUUUAUUUUUCCAUUUAUUUCGUAUUUUGAGGCUCAUUUUUUUACUACUCUAUUACUUUUCACGUAUUAGCAUUCAUUUAGUAUCAUGAUGGAUUUACUUAGGAAGUUUAUCAGCGUAUUGAAUGAGAACGAGAAACAUUGGAAUCUGUGGAAAGGGAGAGAGAGAGAAGCGGUGCAAUGUUUCGUCCUUUCUCUGCCGACCCGAGAUGAGGGAAGAUGUGUUCGUAGCAUGGGUUCUUCCUUCAAGGUCACUGCAGGAGAUGGGUGAAGGAGGAGGAGUUGACAGCAGACAGGAGAGAGGGUGCAGGUGAAUGGUAGACAGAAUGGAAGCCACAGGUGAAAGAAGACAGCAGAUCCGGCCAUGGCAGCAGACAGACAGACAGGCAGGCAGGCAGGCAGAGAGACUGGAUCAGAGAGUAUUCAGUCAGGUAAGGAACACUACACCCCUUCACAAUGUUGACUACUUGAUAGCACAGAUGGGUUUAGGUUUUCAAUAUUUCAAGGCUUGGUAUUUGAACUAUUGCAUGAAAGGAAUAGUCUGAGAAAUGAGAGCUUGUGUUCUUGUCACUUGUAAACAAACUGCUAGAAUAAUUUUGAUUGAUUUUUUUUUUAUUUCAUUUUAUUUAUUUAUUUUUUUUUAUUUAUUGAUUUUUUUUUUUUUUUUUUUUUUUUUCAAGUUCUGGGUAAUAUUUUGGGUCAUUUUGAGUAAUUUCUGUAUCUGCUGGGUCACUUUGUCAUGUCUAAUGUGUCCAGAGUAUUAAUGGUCUGUAAUUGUCAUUUUGAAGGUUAAUAUGAAAGUCAGAGUCUUAUUUCCCAAGCAGAGACAAUGUUCUGGCUCAUUAUUACUCAAAUUUGAGGAAAAAAGUCACUAGUUUCCAUGAAGACAAUGACUUUUUCCUGUUUCCCCAUGAAGUAGCAAAAAUGUCAGGCAGUAAACUUUUAUCUGAGGUUUUACAGCAGUGUGUUUAUGAGUGACAUUAUUAUCAGCUAAGUUUUCGUCAACAAAAAUAAGUAAUCUGUUUUCCGACUGUCUCUGAAUAUCAGUGUAUCUCCGUGACUAACAUUUGGUAUGAGCUAAAAUAUUUGGUUUCCACGGUAAUAUUAACACUUAGGACAAACUAAAAUAUUUGGUUUCCACAGAUAAGUACACAGGAGUAACAAUAUCCACCUCAAGCAACAAAAAUACUCUUCCUCGCAUGGACCGCUUGACUGCCGGGACUUGAAGGCUGAUGUAGUGCAGCCAAGGUCACGCCCCUCAAAGUGUUUAGAGUUACUGUGAAAAAUAUCAUAACUAAGAAUUGCUUUUUAGUGCGUGUAGUUAAAUUUGAAGUCAUUGUUAUGGAUUCCUAAAUUCCUAAACAGCAUAAUGAAUUCAAACUUUUCAGUGUCUGCAGUUAAAAUUAAAUCACUGUUCAAGAUUCCUCAAUUCCUAAACAGCAUAAUGAAUUACAACUUUUUUGGUGUGUAGUUAAAAUUAAAUCAUUGUUAAAGAUUCCUAAAUUCACAAAGAGCAUAACAAAUUACAACUUUUUAGUGUCUAGUUAAAAUUGAAUCAUUGUUAAAGAUUUCAAAAUUCACAAAGACCAUAACGACUUAAAACUUUUUAGUGCACAGCAAAAUCAUCGUUCCAGGUUCCUAAGUGAUGUGUGGCAUUAUCCUGGACAACCCUCAACAGCCCCACUGGAGAUUGUCAGUCUGCAGUGGCACGUGGCAACACACAAGCACUGCCACGUGUUGAGGAGUACACACUGUCCCAUUUGCAGUCAAAAGGUUACAAAAAUAAAGCAGCAUUUUGUCGAGUAAUAAAAGUAAUCAAAA